rnacentral:rRNA from 1 species
GACGAACGCUGGCGGCGUGCUUAACACAUGCAAGUCGAACGGAAAGGCCCUGCUUUUGCGGGGUGCUCGAGUGGCGAACGGGUGAGUAACACGCGAGUAAACUGCCCUUGACUUUGGGAUAACUUCAGGAAACUCGGGCUAAUACCGGAUAGGAGCUCCUGCUGCAUGGUGUUGGUUGGAAAGUUUCGGCGGUUGGGGCUGGACUCGCGGCUUAUCCGCUUGUUGGUGGGGUAGUGGCUUACCAAGGCUUUGACGGGUAGCCGGCCUGAGAGGGUGAACGGCCACAUUGGGACUGAGAUACGGCCCAGACUCCUACGGGAGGCAGCAGUGGGGAAUAUUGCACAGUGGGCGGAAGCCUGAUGCAGCAACGCUGCGUGCGGGAUGACGGCCUUCGGGUUGUAAACCGCUUUCGCCUGUGACGAAGCGUGAGUGACGGUAAUGGGUAAAGAAGCACCGGCUAACUACGUG